UUCGCGGGGGGAAAGGUGCACACAGUCGCACUUCUCACACACUUACAUACAAAAUCCAAUCUGUAAUGACGACACAAAUACAUAGAAAAUGACACACGUCAAAGACAAAUCUUGCAAACCUCGAUCUCUUUUUGUGGUUCCGUAGCCAAAUGGCAAAAAACGGAACCGUUAUGGAUUCGUCAUGUCUGUCUGUCUGUCUGUCCGUCCGUAUGUCACAGCCACUUUUUUCCGAAACUAUAAGAACUAUACUGUUGAAACUUGGUAAGUAGAUGUAUUCUGUGAACCGCAUUAAGAUUUUCACACACAAAUAGAAAAAAAACAAUAAAUUUUAGGGGUUCCCCAUACUUAGAACUGAAACUCAAAAAUUGUUUUCUCAUCAAACCCAUACGUGUGGGGUAUCUAUGGAUAGGUCUUCAAAAAUGAUAUUGAGGUUUCUAAUA